rnacentral:rRNA from 1 species
AACGCAGGCGGCGUGCUUAACACAUGCAAGUCGAACGAAGAGCGACGGAAGCUUGCUUCUAUCAAUCUUAGUGGCGAACGGGUGAGUAACGCGUAAUCAACCUGCCCUUCAGAGGGGGACAACAGUUGGAAACGACUGCUAAUACCGCAUACGAUCUAAUCUCGGCAUCGAGGAUGGAUGAAAGGUGGCCUCUACAUGUAAGCUAUCACUGAAGGAGGGGAUUGCGUCUGAUUAGCUAGUUGGAGGGGUAACGGCCCACCAAGGCGAUGAUCAGUAGCCGGUCUGAGAGGAUGAACGGCCACAUUGGGACUGAGACACGGCCCAGACUCCUACGGGAGGCAGCAGUGGGGAAUCUUCCGCAAUGGACGAAAGUCUGACGGAGCAACGCCGCGUGAGUGAUGACGGCCUUCGGGUUGUAAAGCUCUGUUAAUCGGGACGAAAGGCCUU